rnacentral:rRNA from 1 species
UACAGAGGUCUCAAGCGUUGUUCGGAUUCAUUGGGCGUAAAGGGUGCGUAGGUGGCGCUGUAAGUCGGGUGUGAAAUUUCGGAGCUUAAACUCCGAAACUGCAUUCGAUACUGCGGUGCUUGAGGACUGGAGAGGAGACUGGAAUUCAUGGUGUAGCAGUGAAAUGCGUAGAGAUCAUGAGGAAGACCAGUGGCGAAGGCGGGUCUCUGGACAGUUCCUGACACUGAGGCACGAAGGCCAGGGGAGCAAACGGG